AUUGAACGCUGGCGGCAGGCCUAACACAUGCAAGUCGAGCGAGCGGCGGACGGGUGAGUAAUGUAUGGGGACUGCCCGAUAGAGGGGGAUAACUACUGGAAACGGUGUCUAAUACCGCAUACUAUCGGAUAACCCAUAUGGGAUUAGCUAGUCGGUGGGGUAAAGGCUAACCUAGGCGACGAUCUCUAGCUGGGCUGAGAGGAUGAUCAGACACACUGGGACGGAGACACGGCCCAGACUCCGACGGAGGCAGCAGUGGGGAAUAUUGCACAAGGGGCGAAAGCCUGAUGCAGCCAUGCCGCGUGUAUGAAGAAGGCCUUAGGGUUGUAAAGUACGGUAAGCGGGGAGGCGUUACCCGCAGAAGAAGCACCGGCUAACUCCGUGCCAGCAGCCGCGGUAAUAC
rnacentral:rRNA from 1 species